AUUUAGUUUUUGGUAGACAUUGGUAAACAAUGCCUCAAAGUUCUUUUGAAGAGUUUCAUCUGUUGGAACCAUGACAUAGGCAUUAUUAUGUCCAAAGCCUGAACAUACAUCAUAGCCCUCAAAAGAGAAGCAAAGCAGAGAUGCCUGCAUUUUAUAUACAAAUGUUCCAGCAAAAAGGGAGCUGGGGGAGAGAGAGUGUGUCAAUUCACUGCAGUCAGAAUCAGAACACAAAGGCAACUCCCAGGAAAAAGCACGGAAGGGUGCCGAUGUUAUGAUUCUUUAAGGUAAACAAUGCCUCGAAGUUCUUUUGAAGAGUUUCAGCUGUCGGAACCAUGACAGGGUAGGCAGCAAAUCAAAACAAGAUUGCUUGUUAUUAUACAGCUGGCCAGAAAUCAGGACCGGAGAGAAUUGGGAAGAAAGACCAAAGGAAUCUGCAGAACACCAGUGAAGUUGUAGAAAGGGCUACUAUCCAAAACCAUGAGCUCCCCAAAAUACCACAGGAUGCAAGAAGAUAUGCCUAUCUCCCAAAGUCCACCCCAUUAUUCGGAAAUUCAGCCUGAUCUUCCAAAAACUCCUCCUGAAUCAGCUCAUUGUGUAGACUGUGAGAAAUCUCUUAUUCUGCCAGCCAAGGACCGACCUGUAGAUGACCCAGAUAGGACAGCAUCCAAACACAUUCCAGUCCUUCAGAAACCACAGACGGUUGUCUUUGUGCCUGCUGAACUAGUUGAAGAACCUGAUUAUAUAGGCUUCUCUAUCGUUGCUGCACUGUGCUGUUUCUUGCCCCUGGGCAUAGCUGCCUUUGUUUUCUCUAAACUGACUCAAAAAGCCAAUCAUGAGGGAAAUCUUACAGCUGCUCGGAGAUAUUCAAGGACGGCUGUCAUCCUGGCGCUCCUUUCACUUGUAAUCGGCCUUCCACUCCUCAUUUUUUAUUUCAUCUUUAUCACAAAAUCACAUUAGACCAAGUCAUUAUGAAAUGUUCACAUCUGUACAGCCCACUGAGGAAGCCGAUGUCAACACUGCUAACAUCGGAUGUUUUUGCUUUGACAACAGAUGGAAAUGUAGCCAUUUUUCCUCUAUCGCUUUUAGAGUUCUUGAUGCUGGGAGGGGGAAUGUGAAUGAGGGUCCAGCUAGUCA